rnacentral:rRNA from 1 species
GUGGACGCCAGUCUGCAUGGAGCCGACCUUGAAAUACCACCCUUUAAUGUUUGAUGUUCUAACGUGGACCCGUAAUCCGGGUUGCGGACAGUGUCUGGUGGGUAGUUUGACUGGGGCGGUCUCCUCCUAAAGAGUAACGGAGGAGCACGAAGGUUGGCUAAUCCUGGUCGGACAUCAGGAGGUUAGUGCAAUGGCAUAAGCCAGCUUGACUGCGAGCGUGACGGCGCGAGCAGGUGCGAAAGCAGGUCAUAGUGAUCCGGUGGUUCUGAAUGGAAGGGCCAUCGCUCAACGGAUAAAAGGUACUCCGGGGAUAACAGGCUGAUACCGCCCAAGAGUUCAUAUCGACGGCGGUGUUUGGCACCUCGAUGUCGGCUCAUCACAUCCUGGGGCUGAAGUAGGUCCCAAGGGUAUGGCUGUUCGCCAUUUAAAGUGGUACGCGAGCUGGGUUUAGAACGUCGUGAGACAGUUCGGUCCCUAUCUGCCGUGGGCGCUGGAGAACUGAGGGGGGCUGCUCCUAGUACGAGAGGACCGGAGUGGACGCAUCACUGGUGUUCGGGUUGUCAUGCCAAUGGCACUGCCCGGUAGCUAAAUGCGGAAGAGAUAAGUGCUGAAAGCAUCUAAGCACGAAACUUGCCCCGAGAUGAGUUCUCCCUGAGACUUAGAGUCUCCUGAAGGAACGUUGAAGACGACGACGUUGAUAGGCCGGGUGUG